rnacentral:rRNA from 1 species
CGGCGGACGGGUGAGUAAUGCCUAGGAAUCUGCCUGGUAGUGGGGGAUAACGUCCGGAAACGGGCGCUAAUACCGCAUACGUCCUGAGGGAGAAAGUGGGGGAUCUUUGGACCUCACGCUAUCAGAUGGGCCUAGGUCGGAUUAGCUAGUUGGUGGGGUAAAGGCCUACCAAGGCGACGAUCCGUAACUGGUCUGAGAGGAUGAUCAGUCACACUGGAACUGAGACACGGUCCAG